rnacentral:lncRNA from 1 species
AACAAAAACUUUAAUGGACAUGCCAUUAUUUCUUGUGAACUUGUUGUUUGUACACAUUUAUUUGCACUUGAUUAUCUUACAAGAAAUACAAGGAAUCUGGAAAACGUCACAUGCACUGAUCAGAACCCAGGUAGUUAUCUGAGCCACACUGGUUAAACCUUUGGCUAAAGAUGUCCUGGUUCGAUUUUAAUUUGGUGAAUCGGAUUGUUCCAGAUGACUUAAUAUCAACUAGGAAUCAGAUCAGCAACCACAAACUACAAUAUAAAUCAAAUCGUUGUUUAAAUGAAUUAUUAAACCCCAAGAGAUUAUUCUUUCAUCACUAGAUAACUGAAGUAGUAUUACAAGUAACCAGGCAACUUUACUCAGAUCAUCUCUACUUUCUAAGUUUGCAUGUCAAAGCUGUUUAUUUGGAUAAGUAUCCACAGAGUUUGAAAUGUGUUCCUGCAGCCAUAUUUCAGUCAAAAACUGGUGGGGAUUUACAUGAACUAUGAAUAUCAAGAGAAAAAAAGCCUUGUGUUUCCUUUUCGUCAUCCUGUCAUAUCCUUCACAGCUGCUUUGUAUUUUUCCAAACACCAAAACCUUUACUUUAUAUAAUCCCACAUCAAAACGUUACAGGUGGAGACUUACCUUGUUGCAUCAAACUACAAAGUCAACAUUUAAGAGAGGCGACAUUUACUGAUCAAAGCCUGUGACACCAGCAGAACAUUUUCCACCGGCGAAGCAGACGGCUGGUUUACUUUUUAGUUUUCUUUGCCAUCUGAGGCACCGGUCAAGAAAAUAAUGCAGGCUCAUUGAAAGUGAAGUGGAAAUGGCAGAGAGGAAAUUUACUGAGUUUAUUUUUAUCUGCUUCAUGCUUCUGCACGGUAAGACAAGAAAAUAUCUGGACUUUUCAUGUCAUAAAAUUAAAAACAUUUCUGAAAAGUUGCUCUUCUAGAUGUUACAGUUCAGACUUGUGUCAAAUAUUCACUCAUCAUUUGCUAAAUGUGAGCUUUUUUAUUUAAAAAAAAAAAACACAAAAAAAGGUUUAGCAAUUGUUUUUCACCAAAAAAUAAUUUUCUUUGAAUGUGACUUAAUUAAUCUAAACUGGA